UUAAUUAAAGUCUAUUCUUUGUUAAUUCUGACUCCAGUUGCAAGUUAUGCUAGUUGUAUACACGUACACUCGAUCAGCAGGCAUGAUGAGACAUCUCAUGUGGUUGUACUUAAUAUUGACUAGAACUGUGAUAUUGGUACAGCCUAUAGCUGCCCAGAUACUGUUAUUACAUGACUAAAGUGAUUAGCUUAAAACGUAGAUUUGAUUACUAAUUUCAAACUGCAAGCUGAAAAGUAGGCUGUGGGUUAGGCGACUAAAGCGAGAGAUCUGAUUGGCUUCUCAGAGAAAUCCUAUUUCGCAGAAGAAGUUGAGCAGUUUUAGCUAGGAAAAAUUAUUCUAUCAACAUAUGUUAACGCAAAUACUUCGUUUCUUCGAAAUACGUUGCUUUGAAAAUUGCUACGGGUGCUAAAGUGUCCCAAUUCAAGACCAUGCGCUUUAGAAACUACUGCAAGUUUACUUGCACUUCCGGUUCCGUAUGUUCCAGGGCCUAGGGAGGACGCGCGCGGCCGAGAGGCCCUGGGGACAAGGAUGUGAGUGGACUUGAUCAAAUUCCCUGACUCAAGUUAAGUAUAGCUAUUGACUCGACUUAAACCAAUGACUCGACUUGACUCGAGUGAAACUGCUGACUCGACUCGACUCGAGUGAAGCCACUGACUCGACUCGAUCAGAAACUGAAAUGACUCGACUCG